rnacentral:rRNA from 1 species
UACGAAGGGGCUAGCGUUGCUCGGAAUCACUGGGCGUAAAGCGCACGUAGGCGGCUUUUUAAGUCAGGGUGAAAUCCUGGAGCUCAACUCCAGAACUGCCUUUGAUACUGAGAGCUUGAGUCCGGGAGAGGUGAGUGGAACUGCGAGUGUAGAGGUGAAAUUCGUGGAUAUUCGCAAGAACACCAGUGGCGAAGGCGGCUCACUGGCCCGGUACUGACGCUGAGGUGCGAAAGCGUGGGAGCAACAGG